UACGUAGGGAGCAAGCGUUGUCCGGAAUUAUUGGGCGUAAAGAGCUCGUAGGCGGUCUGUUGCGUCGGCUGUGAAAACCCGGGGCUCAACUCCGGGCCUGCAGCCGAUACGGGCAGACUAGAGUUCGGCAGGGGAGACUGGAAUUCCUGGUGUAGCGGUGAAAUGCGCAGAUAUCAGGAGGAACACCGGUGGCGAAGGCGGGUCUCUGGGCCGAUACUGACGCUGAGGAGCGAAAGCGUGGGGAGCGAACAGG
rnacentral:rRNA from 1 species